rnacentral:rRNA from 1 species
UGGGGAAUAUUGGACAAUGGGGGCAACCCUGAUCCAGCAAUGCCGCGUGAAUGAUGAAGGCCUUAGGGUUGUAAAGUUCUUUUAUUGAUGACGAUAAUGACGGUAAUCAAUGAAUAAGCACCGGCUAACUUCGUGCCAGCAGCCGCGGUAAUACGAAGGGUGCUAGCGUUGUUCGGAAUGACUGGGCGUAAAGGGUGCGUAGGCGGUAAGAUGCGUCUGAUGUGAAAUCCCUGGGCUUAACCUAGGAACUGCAUUGGAUACGGUCUUACUAGAGUCCGCGAGAGGAAGAUGGAAUUGUGCGUGUAGAGGUGAAAUUCGUAGAUAUGCACAAGAACACCGGUGGCGAAGGCGAUCUUCUGGAGCGGUACUGACGCUAAGGCACGAAAGCGUGGGGAGCAAACAGGAUUAGAUACCCUGGUAGUCCACGCUGUAAACGAUGAUUAUUAGAUGUCGGGAGGGUUACCUUUCGGUAUCGCAGCUAACGCAUUAAAUAAUCCGCCUGGGGAGUACGGUCGCAAGAUUA